GGUGGAAGAGGUCGAAGAUAAAGGAACAGAGAAAAUCGUUGAUGGAAAGAGGAGGAUAGAAUACAUUGUGGUAGGAAAAGAGAGACGAAAAUAACGGAGAGAAUAAGAGUUGAAUCUUUUUAUUUCCGUUAUUUGUUUGAUUAUUUUUUUCGAUUGUGAAAAGUAAAAUAAUCCAAUAUUUUUAUGAUUAUUUAUCGAUAAAUAUAUUAUUUAUUAAUAUCGUCGUUAAAAUCGUUCUUAAAAUAAAAUUAUUAUAAAAAGAUGGGAAAUGAAAGAAGUCGAAGAUAGAAGAAAUGAGAAGGGGAAAAGAGAAUACGUUAUAGUAGUAAAAGAGAUAAAAAUAACGAAGAGAAUAAGAGACGAAAUAAAAGGAAAUAGAAGAGAGAUGGCAGUUAUGCAUUAUAUGCUUUGAGGCGAAUCGGAGGAGAAAAAUAGAAACGUUCUUGAAAGAAAGAGAAAUCGUUCGUUCCUACCAGAAGAAAGAAUUACAAGAAGAAAAGAAGGCAGGAGAAAAAGAAAUGGACGUUGGAGAAGAAAAAUUAUUCGAAGUGUAUUUCGUAAGCAAUAGGUGGAAGAGAGACGGGUAGAGGAGAAAAGAAAUUUAUUCGAUAUAUAUUUUAUAUUCCAAAAAAAAAAAAAAAAAAGAAAAAGAAAGAAAAAAAGAAAAAAAGGAAAAAGAAAGAAAGGAACGAAAAGGUGAGGUGAAAGAAUUGUGGAAAAUAUAUUUGUAAACGAAAAAGAGAAAAAGUGGAUUAUGAACAGCGAUAUAAUUUAUUAUGAAUAGAUAAUGAAUAUUUUCUAACAUGCUUAUUGUUAGAAAAAAUGAAUAAUGACGAGAAACAGGAAAUUUAUUUUUGUGAAACUUUUAUAGCUACUUAUAUUGAGUCAUAAAUAAUAUUGUUUUUCAAGUAAGUCUUCAGGUAUAAUUUUUAACCGAUCAACAAUGAUAAAAGAGAAUCUCCGUAGAGAGAGAGGAAAAAAAAAAGAUUUUAAAAUUAUCUAAACAUCAAAGUUCAUCGUACACAAACCGAAGCAAAGAAAGAAAUCGCGCGAGUAAGUGCCAUAUGCUGUUCGAUGGAGAGAAGCGAUGCGAAGAAGGGCAAAGAAGAGAGAAGGAAGGAGGAAAGGCGAAAGAGAGGGGGAGAGAGGAAAAGACGAGGCAAGAGGGAAAAAUUAUUAACUAUAGACGAUUGCACGUGAGGCGAGGAAGAGAAAGAGAAAGCGGAAAAGCAGGAUGGACGAAGAGGAUAGAGAAGGUAGGAAAACGGUGAAAAGAGAGAAAGAGGAAAUGGUGGAGGGAGGCAAAGGCGAAGGCAAGUCAAAUGUUAGCGAGUGCACGGGGAUGGAACGUCUUUAAGACCAAGGAGGGACUUAUAUAAGAAAGCAAGAUGGCAACCGGUUGUCCCUGAGCCACGACCAGCGUUUAUUUGCGCAUUUUUAUCUAUUUUUCGUGCCGACCAAAAAACUUCGCGCAACCAGUUCGCCCGAUGGCGCACAUGGGUCGUAGCUCGCACACCGCCGAGAUUUUUCUUUCCCAUGGAUAUGGAUGCGUUUUUGUUGUCACCCAAGGUGUCGCAUCAUUAUCCCUGUUCUAAACAUUUCUGUAAUCGCUAAUUCGAAGGAACAACGACGCGACAAUUGGUAACGACGCUCAUUUUUCCAUAUGAAAUAAAGAAAACCAAUUGGAUUGGAUCGGGCAAAUUUAUACGUUUUUUUGAAAAAUUUAAAUAUAAGAAAAAUUAUAAAAUUUAUAAAAUUUGAGCGUGAUUAAUGUUCUAAUAUUUAAAAAACAAGAUUCGUUUCGUUUGAAACAUAAUCCAAAGAAUUCUUGGGCGGAGAAAAAACAUAGUUGCAUCAACAUUUAAGCUUUACCCGAGAAGAAGGAAAUCAGAAGAUACAUCUUCCGUGUCGUUGGAAACUUAAUAUUCGCGGUAUCCGCGCAAUCACGAAAACCAUAAAUUCCAAGAGCAACGAGUGUUUAAAAGAGCCGAUUAAAUAUGUCGGCUUAUCGCCCAUUAAAAUCUCUCUAUCACUGGACUACACUUCGUUCUCGAGAGAAUAAAAUUCACUCAACAAGAAGGAACGAGGCUGGAGAAAUAUUAGAGACAAAAUAAAAAUCAAUCGUUGUACAAUUUUUAUUUUAUUUCGCGUAAUUAUGUAACUGUUGACAAUUUUUAAUUUUCAUAAAUCAAAAUCGGAUAAGCAAAUUCAACACACGUUUCGAAUAUCAUUCGUCGUAAAAUAAAUAACUAUUGUCGAGAACAACUUUUCCACGUAUCGUGACAAAUCGAAUGCGAUUUCUCGACGCGAAAGAUCCAACGUGAAAAGGAAAAGAAGGGAAAAAAAAGGAGAAAAAAUAAGAAAAGAAUUUCUCCACGGAAAAUCAGAGAAAAAAAUACGGAUAGCACGGUACAACGUGGUGGACGUCGGCAGAUGUCCAUCACUGUAUCAUUUGCAUGGGCAUCUGUGAAGGUAUCGAAUGUCUCGUCGUAAUUUUCAUUCAAACACAAAUCACUCGUUGCUCGCAUGCCGUAUUAUUGAAACAAGCAAUUCGCCCCCUUCUGCCAUGCCUCUUUUUCAUCGUUUAUACCCGGAGGACCGUACGCCCAAUCGUUUGCUCCUCGUGUUUACUCACAUGUGACUGCAACGUCGUGAAACGACGUGUUUGCCUCGCCAACGCGUAAGGUAGGUAAUAAUAAAAAGCGAUCGACCGAGACCGAGGAUCGAACACCUCGAUCGAUCCGGUAUAAAUAAGUAAGCAGAUACCACUCGUCUUUGUGCUUAUUAUUAAUUUCCUUAAUUUAUAUUUUUACAAAUUGAUUUUAUUCCUGAUAAAUACGUAGAGGAUCGCUUAAUUUAUGAAAUUACAAUACAAAUUAGAAUUAGGAGAUUCUGUGAUUAAAAGUAAGACGGAUAUAACGUAUCAUCUUCGUGUAUAGUAUCAUGUAGAAUAAUAAUGAUAUUUAUUAUUUUCUUUUCCUUGCUUUAUCGUUACGAUGAAUGUAACUAACGUCAAAGCUUUGAAAUUAAAUUACCAAGAUUAAUCAAAUUUGUUAUUCGAUGUUAAGAAUUUGAUUAAAAUGUCAUAUUUAAAUUUCGAUUAAUUUCCGUCUUAAUAAUACGUUUGUUUAUUUAUUGUAUUUCAAAAAAUUACAGAAAUUGUUGAGAAAUAAAUGAUUUUGACAUCGAUCGAUUCAAUCAUGA